rnacentral:tRNA from 1 species
GGCGAUGGCUCAGCUGGUAGAGCAUUUGCCAGGUAUGCGGAGGAUCACCGGUUCAAUUCCGGCCCA